rnacentral:rRNA from 1 species
GGGGCAUUGCCUUAGUAACGGCGAGUGAAGCGGCAAAAGCUCAAAUUUGAAAUCUGGUACCUUCGGUGCCCGAGUUGUAAUUUGGAGAGGGCAACUUUGGGGCCGUUCCUUGUCUAUGUUCCUUGGAACAGGACGUCAUAGAGGGUGAGAAUCCCGUGUGGCGAGGAGUGCGGUUCUUUGUAAAGUGCCUUCGAAGAGUCGAGUUGUUUGGGAAUGCAGCUCUAAGUGGGUGGUAAAUUCCAUCUAAAGCUAAAUAUUGGCGAGAGACCGAUAGCGAACAAGUACAGUGAUGGAAAGAUGAAAAGAACUUUGAAAAGAGAGUGAAAAAGUACGUGAAAUUGUUGAAAGGGAAGGGCAUUUGAUCAGACAUGGUGUUUUGUGCCCUCUGCUCCUUGUGGGUAGGGGAAUCUCGCAUUUCACUGGGCCAGCAUCAGUUUUGGUGGCAGGAUAAAUCCAUAGGAAUGUAGCUUGCCUCGGUAAGUAUUAUAGCCUGUGGGAAUACUGCCAGCUGGGACUGAGGACUGCGACGUAAGUCAAGGAUGCUGGCAUAAUGGUUAUAUGCCGCCCGUCUGA